rnacentral:misc_RNA from 1 species
GAUGAAGAACGCAGCGAAAUGCGAUAAGUAAUGUGAAUUGCAGAAUUCAGUGAAUCAUCGAGUCUUUGAACGCACAUUGCGCCCCCUGGUAUUCCGGGGGGCAUGCCUGUCCGAGCGUCAUUGCUGCCCUCAAGCACGGCUUGUGUGUUGGGCCCCCGUCCCCGGUUUCCCCCGGGGACGGGCCCGAAAGGCAGCGGCGGCACCGCGUCCGGUCCUCGAGCGUAUGGGGCUUUGUCAACCGCUCUGUAGGCCCGGCCGGCGCCAGCCGACACCCAACUUUAUUUCUAAGGUUGACCUCGGAUCAGGUAGGGAUACCCGCUGAACUUAAGCAUAUCAAUAAGCGGAGGA